rfam:Aedes aegypti strain Liverpool supercont1.464 genomic scaffold, whole genome shotgun sequence.
UGCCCAGCAACUCCUAUCCCUACCUCCUCGUGGUACUGGCCGGGGUACUAGAAACCUUGGGGAAGAUCGGGUAACCAACCCCCGGUGGGAACUUUGGUCGUAUGCUGACAGGGAAGG